rnacentral:rRNA from 1 species
UACGGGGGGGGCAAGCGUUGUUCGGAAUUACUGGGCGUAAAGGGCUCGUAGGUGGCCAACUAAGUCAGACGUGAAAUCCCUCAGCUUAACUGGGGAACUGCGUCUGAUACUGGAUGGCUUGAGUUUGGGAGAGGGAUGCGGAAUUCCAGGUGUAGCGGUGAAAUGCGUAGAUAUCUGGAGGAACACAGGUGGCGAAGGCGGCAUCCUGGACCAAUACUGACACUGAGGAGCGAAAGCCAGGGGAGCAAACGGG